rnacentral:rRNA from 1 species
CCUACGGGAGGCAGCAGUGAGGAAUAUUGGUCAAUGGGCUUACGCCUGAACCAGCCAAGUCGCGUGAGGGAAGACUGCCCUAUGGGUUGUAAACCUCUUUUGUCAGGGAGCAAUUGGCGCUACGUGUAGCGUUAUCGAGAGUACCUGCAGAAAAAGCAUCGGCAAACUCCGUGCCAGCAGCCGCGGUAAUACGGAGGAUGCGAGCGUUAUCCGGAUUUAUUGGGUUUAAAGGGUGCGUAGGCGGAAUGCCAAGUCAGCGGUAAAAUCGCGGGGCUCAACCUCGCUCCGCCGUUGAAACUGGCGGUCUUGAGUGGGCGAGAAGUAUGCGGAAUGCGUGGUGUAGCGGUGAAAUGCAUAGAGAUCACGCAGAACUCCGAUUGCGAAGGCAGCAUACCGGCGCCCAACUGACGCUGAAGCACGAAAGCGUGGGUAUCGAACAGGAUUAGAUACCCGAGUAGUC